UACGGAGGGUGCAAGCGUUGUCCGGAUUUAUUGGGUUUAAAGGGUGCGUAGGCGGCUAAUUAAGUCAGCGGUGAAAUUCCACAGCUUAACUGUGGAACUGCCAUUGAUACUGGUUGGCUUGAGUACAGAUGAGGUAGGCGGAAUUGACAGUGUAGCGGUGAAAUGCUUAGAUAUUGUCAAGAACACCUAUUGCGAAGGCAGCUUACUAAGCUGUAACUGACGCUGGGGCACGAAAGCGUGGGGAUCAAACAGG
rnacentral:rRNA from 1 species